GGAUAGUGCAUGCAGGGUGUGUGUGUGCGUGUGUGUGCAUGUGUGUGUAUGUGUGUGUGUGCUGUGCGUGCGCGCCCGCGGAGAGAGGGGCGGGGGAGGCGGAUGAGGAGGAUGAGAUCAUAGUUUCAGGAUCCUCAGGAAACCCUGGUACUGGCAGCAGCCAGCCUCUGCUGUGCCCACAUGACCCACAACUCUGGCAGCGGACCCGGCACUUCCAACAUUAUUAAAUAAUAAGAAAGCGGCUCCUACUCCAUGCCCAAACCUCCCUACAGACCAAUGGACACCUUCUAAGAGUUUGGCGAGUCGGUGACUGAGGCGCCCGUCCAUUCCAAGGCCGUCUUAUCACAUUCACAGUGGGAGAUUGCAGCCUCCAAACUGCUAUUCUGACUCUGAUCUUCAUGUAAAAGAAUGUUCUUCGGGCAUCCCACUGGAUCUACUGUAAAACAUCAGUCACGCAUCCAUAGGAUGGACUCAAAGACCUUCCUGAUGAGUGGUGGUGUGAAAUAUACUAAGAAUAAAAGGAUGCUUCAUUUUUAUGCGCUAGAGAUUUAAAACCACAUUAUACUUUGAUGCUAUCACCAGCCUUUUUCUUUAUGAUAUCUGCUGUUAUGUGAAUUGAGGGUUUUUUGAAGUUAAUAACUGAAAUACCCUCAGGGCUGUAAUCUCAUCCGUUGGAAGGACCCUGAGCAAACUCUUCCGUGGUGUGCGGUCAAUGUACCAUCAAUUUGGCCUUUUCAGUUCCAUGUGAAGCAAUGGUUGAACAUUGUGGUUUCUUUUUGUAACUUAGCCUUCCCCCACAACAUUCUUGAAGUAGAAGCAACAGCAACGAUGUUCUAGUUCAUUUGUGUCAACUAAUUUAAAAAAACAAAUUAAGGAGAGUAAGUUCAGACAUUUUGGAUAUUACUUUAAAUGUUAACAAUCAUUGGC
rnacentral:lncRNA from 1 species